CGUUUUAUCACUCUCAUAAAUAAUGGAUCAUGGUUAUGCAUAUCUUUCAUAGUACCUAUUUCAUCUGUCCUCAAUUUUAUAUUCUCACUGAAAAUUAUCUGGUUCUAUUUUAAAUGCAGAAUGGAAGUGAUGGGUGGGCUUCGAAUAUGGAUCAUCAACUUUUGGGAUCUGUUCAUCAUGCCUCCGCAUUUCACGGCUAUUUACAGACGUGCUCAUAUAAUUGAAACCCUAAUUUUCUUAGUAGUACUAGGUAGAUGUGAAAUGGAUUGAAUGGUAAGAUUUCAACAAUACACGGAUUUGAUGUGAUCAUGUUGCCCAUCUCUGCUUGUCGUUUCCCGCUGCUGGAGGAGGCGCCGAAGAAAGCUUACAGUCAGUUGCACUUUAUUGGGGUAGCCUGGGCCAGAGAGAAAGUGGAUUUGUGCAAAGGAGGAGCUGAUAUAGAGCCUUGAAUUUUAGGUAUACAUUUCCAGCUUCAAAGUUCAAGCAUCAAAUCAAGGUUAUUGUAGUAAUGAGGUGCUACAAGAAUUCAAAGGGAGAAGUUGCAUUGCUGUAACUCUUUAAAGGGUUAAUACAAGCUUUAAAUCUCUUUGGGUAUGGAGUUUUUUCUCAUGAGGGUUUCUCCGUAUAUAUCUUCAGUUAAGGUUUGCAUCUCUUUUAUGUUGUAUUGUUUUUUCUUUUUAUGUAUUGUGUA